rnacentral:rRNA from 1 species
UACGUAGGGUGCGAGCGUUGUCCGGAAUUAUUGGGCGUAAAGAGCUCGUAGGCGGUUUGUUGCGUCGGCUGUGAAAACCUGAGGCUCAACCUCAGGCCUGCAGUCGAUACGAGCAGACUAGAGUGUUGCAGGGGAGACUGGAAUUCCUGGUGUAGCGGUGAAAUGCGCAGAUAUCAGGAGGAACACCGAUGGCGAAGGCAGGUCUCUGGGCCACUACUGACGCUGAGAAGCGAAAGCAUGGGGAGCGAACAGG